GACGAACGCUGGCGGCGUGCCUAAUACAUGCAAGUAGAACGCUGAAGGAGGAGCUUGCUUCUCUGGAUGAGUUGCGAACGGGUGAGUAACGCGUAGGUAACCUGCCUGGUAGCGGGGGAUAACUAUUGGAAACGAUAGCUAAUACCGCAUAAUAGUAGAUGUUGCAUGACAUUUGCUUAAAAGGUGCAAUUGCAUCACUACCAGAUGGACCUGCGUUGUAUUAGCUAGUUGGUGGGGUAACGGCUCACCAAGGCGACGAUACAUAGCCGACCUGAGAGGGUGGUCGGCCACACUGGGACGAAGACACGGCCCAGACUCCUACGGGAGGCAGCAGGAGGGAAUCUUGGGCAAUGGACGGAAGUCUGACCGAGCAACGCCGCGUGAGUGAAGAAGGUUGUCGGAUCGGAAAGCUCGGUUGUAAGAGAAGAACGAGUGUGAGAGUGGAAAGUUCACACUGUGACGGUAUCUGACCAGAAAGGGACGGCUAACUACGUG
rnacentral:rRNA from 1 species